rnacentral:miRNA from 1 species
UGACCGGCCUAUCCUCUCAG